AAUUUCUUCGGCAAGAGAAGGUGGAGCAAAGGUGAAGGAGGUAGCUGCAAUGAGGGAGAGGGAUUUGAGGGUGGAAGAAGAGAGGGAAUGGAGUUGGGUUUUGUUGAUUUUGGGGAGUUUGAUUGGGAGGGAGAUUUGGGGGAUAUGGAGUUUGGGUCUGGUGGUGGUGGUGGAGGUGGUGGAGAUGAGGGGUUUGGAGGAGGCCAUGAUCGCGGUGGCCAUGGCUGGUGAAUUGGAAAAUGGAGAUUUGGUGAGGAUGAUACUGAAAACUGAGUGAAUUAUGAAGGAGAGACUGUGUGUGGAAGUGGGCGAAGAGGCUAUCUCAUUUCUUCGCCACACAAAUUGCU
rnacentral:lncRNA from 1 species